rnacentral:rRNA from 1 species
CCUACGGGUGGCAGCAGUGAGGAAUAUUGGGCAAUGGACGCGAGUCUGAAGCAGCAAAGCAGCGUGAAGGAAGACUGCCCUCUGGGUUGUAAACUUCUUUUAUAAAGGAGUAAAACGACGCAAGUGUGCCUUUUUGCAUGUACUUUAUGCAUAACGAUCGGCUAACUCCGUGCCAGGAGCCGCGGUAAUACGGAGGAUCCGAGCGUUAUCCGGAUUUAUUGGGUGUAAAGGGGGCGUAGAUGGGUUGUUAAGUCAGUUGUGAAAGUUUGCGGCUCAACCGUAAAAUUGCAAUUGAUACUGGCAGUCUUGAGUACAGUUGAGGUAGGCGGAAUUCGUGGUGUAGCGGUGAAAUGCUUAGAUAUCACGAAGAACCCCGAUUGCGAAGGCAGCUUACUAAACUGUGACUGACAUUGAUGCUCGAAAGUGUGGGUAUCAAACAGGAUUAGAUACCCGUGUAGUC